UACGUAGGGUGCAAGCGUUAAUCGGAAUUACUGGGCGUAAAGCGUGCGCAGGCGGUUCGUUGUGUCUGAUGUGAAAGCCCCGGGCUCAACUUGGGAACGGCAUUGGAAACUGGCGAGCUAGAGUGUGGCAGAGGGGGGUGGAAUUCCGCGUGUAGCAGUGAAAAUGCGUAGAGAUGCGGAGGAACACCGAUGGCCGGAAGGCAGCCCCCUGGGCUGACACUGACGCUCAGGCACGAAAGCGUGGGGAGCAAACAGG
rnacentral:rRNA from 1 species